GACGGAGGAUGCAAGCGUUAUCCGGAAUGAUUGGGCGUAAAGCGUCCGCAGGUGGCAGUUCAAGUCUGCUGUCAAAGACCGGGGCUUAACUUCGGAAAGGCAGUGGAAACUGAACAGCUAGAGUAUGGUAGGGGCAGAGAGAAUUCCUGGUGUAGCGGUGAAAUGCGUAGAGAUCAGGAAGAACAUCGGUGGCGAAGGCGCUCUGCUGGACCAUAACUGACACUCAGGGACGAAAGCUAGGGGAGCGAAUGGG
rnacentral:rRNA from 1 species